CGGAGGAUCCAAGCGUUAUCCGGAAUCAUUGGGUUAAAGGGUCCGUAGGCGGUUUAUUAAGUCAGUGGUGAAAUCUGGUCGCUCAACGAUCAAACGGCCAUUGAUACUGAUAGACUUGAAUUAUUGGGAAGUAACUAGAAUAUGUAGUGUAGCGGUGAAAUGCUUAGAUAUUACAUGGAAUACCAAUUGCGAAGGCAGGUUACUACCAAUGGAUUGACGCUGAUGGACGAAAGCGUGGGGAGCGAACAGGAUUAGAUACCCUGGUAGUCCACGCCGUAAACGAUGGAUACUAGCUGUUCGGAGCAAUCUGAGUGGCUAAGCGAAAGUGAUAAGUAUCCCACCUGGGGAGUACGUUCGCAAGAAUG
rnacentral:rRNA from 1 species